rnacentral:rRNA from 1 species
AGAUUGAACGCUGGCGGCAGGCCUAACACAUGCAAGUCGAACGGUAACAGGAAGCAGCUUGCUGCUUUGCUGACGAGUGGCGGACGGGUGAGUAAUGUCUGGGAAACUGCCUGAUGGAGGGGGAUAACUACUGGAAACGGUAGCUAAUACCGCAUAACGUCGCAAGACCAAAGAGGGGGACCUUAGGGCCUCUUGCCAUCGGAUGUGCCCAGAUGGGAUUAGCUAGUAGGUGGGGUAACGGCUCACCUAGGCGACGAUCCCUAGCUGGUCUGAGAGGAUGACCAGCCACACUGGAACUGAGACACGGUCCAGACUCCUACGGGAGGCAGCAGUGGGGAAUAUUGCACAAUGGGCGCAAGCCUGAUGCAGCCAUGCCGCGUGUAUGAAGAAGGCCUUCGGGUUGUAAAGUACUUUCAGCGGGGAGGAAGGGAGUAAAGUUAAUACCUUUGCUCAUUGACGUUACCCGCAGAAGAAGCACCGGCUAACUCCGUGCCAGCAGCCGCGGUAACACGGAGGGUGCAAGCGCUUAUCCGAAUUCACUGGGCGUAAAGCGCACCCUCGCGGCCUGUCAAGUCAGAUGUGAAAUCCCCCGGGCUCAACCUGGGAACUGCAUCUGAUACUGGCAAGCUUGAGUCUCGUAGAGGGGGGUAGAAUUCCAGGUGUAGCGGUGAAAUGCGUAGAGAUCUGGAGGAAUACCGGUGGCGAAGGCGGCCCCCUGGACGAAGACUGACGCUCAGGUGCGAAAGCGUGGGGAGCAAACAGGAUUAGAUACCCUGGUAGUCCACGCCGUAAACGAUGUCGACUUGGAGGUUGUGCCCUUGAGGCGUGGCUUCCGGAGCUAACGCGUUAAGUCGACCGCCUGGGGAGUACGGCCGCAAGGUUAAAACUCAAAUGAAUUGACGGGGGCCCGCACAAGCGGUGGAGCAUGUGGUUUAAUUCGAUGCAACGCGAAGAACCUUACCUGGUCUUGACAUCCACAGAACUUUCCAGAGAUGGAUUGGUGCCUUCGGGAACUGUGAGACAGGUGCUGCAUGGCUGUCGUCAGCUCGUGUUGUGAAAUGUUGGGUUAAGUCCCGCAACGAGCGCAACCCUUAUCCUUUGUUGCCAGCGGUCCGGCCGGGAACUCAAAGGAGACUGCCAGUGAUAAACUGGAGGAAGGUGGGGAUGACGUCAAGUCAUCAUGGCCCUUACGACCAGGGCUACACACGUGCUACAAUGGCGCAUACAAAGAGAAGCGACCUCGCGAGAGCAAGCGGACCUCAUAAAGUGCGUCGUAGUCCGGAUUGGAGUCUGCAACUCGACUCCAUGAAGUCGGAAUCGCUAGUAAUCGUGGAUCAGAAUGCCACGGUGAAUACGUUCCCGGGCCUUGUACACACCGCCCGUCACACCAUGGGAGUGGGUUGCAAAAGAAGUAGGUAGCUUAACCUUCGGGAGGGCGCUUACCACUUUGUGAUUCAU